GAUGAAGAACUUAGUGAAAUGCGAUACUUGGUGUGAAUUGCAGAAUCCCGUGAACCAUCGAGUCUUUGAACGCAAGUUGCGCCCGAAGCCUCGGCUAAGGGCACGUCUGCCUGGGCGUCACGCAUCGCGUCUCCCCCAAACCGCCAAGGCGGAGGGGAAGGAAGAUGGCUUCCCGUGCCUCACCCGGCGCGGUUGGCCUAAAUUUGGAGCCCGCGGCACUUAGCUCUCGCGGCGAUAGGUGGUGAACAAGGCCUUGGCCGUGCAAACAACCCGCUGCGAAGCUCUAUGUCACGUGCGCUCGUCGGACCCUUUGAAGUUGCCUUCGGUGACUUAAAACCUUUGCGACCCCAGGUCAGGCGGGGCUACCCGCUGAAUUUAAGCAUAUCAAUAAGCGGAGGA
rnacentral:misc_RNA from 1 species